GAGUUUGAUCAUGGCUCAGAUUGAACGCUGGCGGCAUGCUUUACACAUGCAAGUCGAACGGCAGCAUAGAGAGCUUGCUCUCUGAUGGCGAGUGGCGAACGGGUGAGUAAUACAUCGGAACGUGUCCGUUUGUGGGGGACAACCACCCGAAAGGGUGGCUAAUACCGCAUAAGACCUGAGGGUGAAAGCCGGGGACCGCAAGGCCUGGCGCGAACGGAGCGGCCGAUGACUGAUUAGCUGGUUGGCGGGUAAAGGCCCACCAAGGCGACGAUCAGUAGCUGGUCUGAGAGGACGACCAGCCACACUGGAACUGAGACACGGUCCAGACUCCUACGGGAGGCAGCAGUGGGGAAUUUUGGACAAUGGGGGCAACCCUGAUCCAGCCAUGCCGCGUGCGGGAAGAAGGCCUUC
rnacentral:rRNA from 1 species